rnacentral:sRNA from 1 species
UGGAAGUAAAAGUCGUAACAAGGUUUCCGUAGGUGAACCUGCGGAAGGAUCAUUGUCGAACCCUGCACAGCAGAACGACCCGCGAACUCGUAAUCUAACUGCGGGAGACGGUGGUGCUUGCACCCUCCGCGACCCGAUGUCGGGGGCAAUGGCGCCAGCCUGCGCUGCCCGACAAACAACGUACCCCCGGCGCGGUCUGCGCCAAGGAACCGAAUUGAAGCAACGUGCGUCGCGCGCCCCGUCUGCGGGAUGCGUGCGUCCGCGCGGUCUUCCAAUGUAUACUAAACGACUCUCGGCAACGGAUAUCUCGGCUCUCGCAUCGAUGAAGAACGUAGCGAAAUGCGAUACUUGGUGUGAAUUGCAGAAUCCCGUGAACCAUCGAGUCUUUGAACGCAAGUUGCGCCCGAAGCCAUUAGGCCGAGGGCACGCCUGCCUGGGCGUCACGCGCUCCGUCGCCCCGCAACCCCAAACCCCGAAACGGGCCAGGGAUCAUGCGGUGCGGAGAUUGGUCUCCCGUGCGCGAGAGCUCGCGGUUGGCCUAAAAUCGAGUCCCGGGCGCUCUGUUAUGCGGCCGACGGUGGUUGAGAAGCCCUCGGAAAUGUGCCGAUGACAGGUCGCUCACUGCGGACCACACGACCCUUGCGCGACUUCUCCUCUCGGGGAGGAUGAGCUCUUACUGCGACCCCAGGUCAGGCGGGAUUACCCGCUGAAUUUAAGCAUAUCAAUAAGCGGAGGA